rnacentral:rRNA from 1 species
GACGAACGCUGGCGGCGUGCCUAAUACAUGCAAGUCGAGCGGGACUCUUCGGAGUCCAGCGGCGGACGGGUGAGUAACACGUGGGCAACCUGCCUGUAAGACUGGGAUAACACCGGGAAACCGGUGCUAAUACCGGAUAAUCCUUUCCCUCACAUGAGGGGAAGCUGAAAGACGGUUUCGGCUGUCACUUACAGAUGGGCCCGCGGCGCAUUAGCUAGUUGGUGAGGUAACGGCUAACCAAGGCGACGAUGCGUAGCCGACCUGAGAGGGUGAUCGGCCACACUGGGACUGAGACACGGCCCAGACUCCUACGGGAGGCAGCAGUAGGGAAUCUUCCGCAAUGGACGAAAGUCUGACGGAGCAACGCCGCGUGAGCGAUGAAGGCCUUCGGGUCGUAAAGCUCUGUUGUCAGGGAAGAACAAGUAUCGGAGUAACUGCCGGUACCUCGACGGUACCUGAUCAGAAAGCCACGGCUAACUACGUGCCAGCAGCCGCGGUAA